rnacentral:lncRNA from 1 species
AAAAGAGAAAAAAAAGAAGCUAAUACUGCCCUAACUAUUGCUCCGGAGAGAAAAGAGGUGCAUCAUCAGGGAUAUCAGGGCAUUGGCUGGUCUGUGGUGGAGGAAUGGCUGCUCGCUGAGGGUCGGAAGUAGUGUCACCUGUAGGAGUUGGUGGGUCAGUAAGAACAGCGUCGGUAGGAGGCUCGUCAGGCUGCUUUGGAGGAUGCUCAGUUGGAAAAGAAAAGUCAGCUGGAUCAUCCGCUAGAGGGAUGUCAAAAUGGCUACGUAUUGGAACCCAGCUCCGUGGACUGGCAAGGGCAUAAUCUGUAGCAAAAAUAUCAUAAAAAAUAUCAGGGUCCAUA